rnacentral:pre_miRNA from 1 species
UUAGCUCAUAUUUGUAUGGAAUGGGAUCGUUUGCGUAAGUUUGCCGCUAGGGGCGCUGUUCCAACUGCAUACAAAAUUGGGUUA